UGCAACUCUAAGGAUCCCAAAGAGGAGGCAAAAAAAUCAUGGAGCCCGAAAAAAUUAAACAAGAUUUUUUAUAGAUAGAUUAAUUCUAAUACUUUGAACAGUUCAACCGAAAAGCAAUGUCAUUUUUCCUUAUAGUGAAUUAUAGUGACGCGGUCAGGUCGUCACGUCGUGUUUGUUUGCUUCUAAUGAGUUUAGCGAUUUCUUUUUCAUUCAAUUUGUCGUGAACGCCUCUACAAUGUUUACAAAUUAUUAAACGUUUGUUUAUUAACGUUCAUCUUGAUGUUAAAAAAUUUCAAUGACCAUUCGAAAUACAAAUGCAUGGAAUAAUGAGCGAUGCGGUACGGUAAUGCUGGUAAUCAAUUACCUAAAAUUUAUCAACUAUUUACUAUUCUUUGAAUCUUGCCACAGAAUCAGCGAAAGAAUUAGAAGAUUACUGAAAGGUUAAGGGAAUGAUUAACGAAUUACAAUUACAUCCAUUUUUGAUUAAGGCAGAUAUCAGAAUUAUUUUUUAAAAGCGACAAUUUGUUGGCAUAUUACAAACAACUAUAUAAGAUACGAAGUGCUACAGACAGUCUUGGGAGACAACGGGUUCGAACUUUGCCUGCUUUUCCAGAUAAUUUUUAUUCGAGCUUCGUCCACAUCUAAUAGGGGAUACGAUACUGGCACUUUUUUAGAAUAUAACUACCCGCCCAAUUUUGGUCAUGAU